rnacentral:rRNA from 1 species
UACGAAGGGGGCGAGCGUUGUUCGGAAUUACUGGGCGUAAAGGGCUCGUAGGCGGCCAACUAAGUCGGACGUGAAAUCCCCAGGCUCAACCUGGGAACUGCGUCCGAUACUGGAUGGCUUGAAUCCGGGAGAGGGAUGCAGAAUUCCUGGUGUAGCGGUGAAAUGCGCAGAUAUCAGGAGGAACACCGGUGGCGAAGGCGGGUCUCUGGGCCGAUACUGACGCUGAGGAGCGAAAGCGUGGGGAGCGAACAGG